UCCAUUUCUCCAUCCCAUCAGGAUUUGGGGUUGAUAUCUUUGCUACCCACAUUUUCCUUUAGAAAGAAGAAUGCAUUCAUGAUCCCAGAGAUUGAAGGCAGAUCACCGUCCCAUCUGAACCCACCCUGUUGCAUGCGGAGGCACCACCUUUUCUUCUGUGAAAGAAAAACAGUUGAAAGCAGUCUGUGGAAUUCAUGGAGUACGAAUUGGGCACUGUCCUAGAGAGACAAAGACAGGAAAAUGUGUUCUCUUUCUCGUUUCUUUGCACAUACUGUCCCCCUCUGCCCAGAACACUCCACAACCAUGUCUUCAUCUAUUAAUUCCUAUCAUUAUUCACAUCCUUAAAACACUCAGCUCAGACUUUAACCCACUAAAAAGGGCCCCAGCCACAGUGGCACAGGCAGUGGGGACUAUGCGAUGCUGGACCAGCAGUGCUAUAGCUUGAAGAAGCUAAGAUAUAGCCAUUUGAUGGUGUGGUAGUUAAGGCGGCUGGAUCCCAAUGGCUGGCUGCAUGAGGAGGCUGCAGGUUUCCAACCCAGGUCUACCUAAAUGUGCAAGACAUGACCAUGGACACAUCUAUGAUCCUGGCUGGCUGUAGAACUGGUGGGGGAGGGGGUGUCACAGUAUGAAUAAUUUGUUGAGAGUUUCCUCACUCACAUAUGAAAGAAAGAAAGAAACUUUCAAAAAGUGGAGAGGGAGAGUGUCCUAUAGCCUCCCACACUCUGAUGUCGCAAUUUCAGCAGACAAUAAUUUGUCUCCUUGCACUGACCAGACUGAACAACCUAAGUUCAAGCUUGCAGCCCUUAGCUCUGUGGCCUUACUACCUGGUACAAUGUCUGCUCUAUGUUAAGUGCUCCAUAAA